GGGGGUAAAUUAAUAAAAUAAAAUUAAUAAAAAAAUUUUUAAUAUUGGGGGGUAUUAAAGUAUUUUUUUUAAAAAAAAUAAAAAAAUUUAUAGUUAAUUAAUAUUGUAAAAGAAAUUUUAUAUAUAAAUGAAAAAUUAAUUAAUAAAAAAGUAAAUUUAAUUUAUUGUAUCUUGUGUAUCAGAGUUUAUUAAAAAAUAUUUAAUUGAUAAUAAAAUCUCGAAUUUAAAAGAGUUAACUAAUUAUAAAAGUUAAUGUUGAAUAAUUAUUUUUAAUAAUUAGAUAGAAAUGAAAUGUUAAUCGUUUUUAAAUAUAUCUAGUUUUUUUAGAAAAAAAUUUAAUUUAAAAUUUAAAAAAUUUUUUAUUUAAUUUUAUAAAUAUAAAAUUUUAAAAUUAAAUAUAUUAAGGGAUAAGCUUUAAUAUAAAUAUUUAUAAUAAAAAUAAUUAUUAAUAAAAUUUUUAAAAUUUAUAUUGUUUAAAAAUUAUAAUUUAUUAAAAAAAAUUUUAUAAUGAAUAAAAUUUAAUUGUAUUUAUUUAAUUUUUUAUAAAAAAAUAUUUUUUAAUAGAAUAAAUAUAGAAAUAAUGAUAAAAUUAGUAUAUUAAAAAUUAAAAUAGUAAAUUUAAAUUAAAAUUAAUUUAAAGGAAUUCGGCAAAAAUUUAUAUUCACUUGUUUAUCAAAAACAUGUCUUUUAGAUAAUAAUUUAAGGUCUAAUCUGCCCACUGAUAAAUAAUUAAAGGGCUGCAGUAUAUUGACUGUACAAAGGUAGCAUAAUCAUUAGUCUUUUAAUUGGAGACUUGUAUGAAAGAUUUGAUGAAAUAUAAACUGUCUCUAAAUUAUUAAUAAAAAUUAAUUUUUUAGUUAAAAAGCUAAAAUUUAUUUAAAAGACGAGAAGACCCUAUAGAGUUUUAUAAUAAUAAUAAUUAAAGUUAGGUAUAUAAUUAUAAAUUGAAAUUGUUAUUAUUAUUUUAUUGGGGUGAUAGAAAAAUUAAAUAAACUUUUUUUUUUAUAAGUCAUAAAUAAGUGAGUUUUUGAUCCAUUUAUAAUGAUUAAAAGAAAAAAUUACCUUAGGGAUAACAGCGUAAUUUUUUUUUUAGUACAGAUAAAAAAAAAAGGUUGCGACCUCGAUGUUGGAUUAAGAUAAAAGUUAAAUGUAAAAGUUUAAAAUUUGAUCUGUUCGAUCAUUAAAAUCUUACAUGAUCUGAGUUCAAACCGGUGUGAGCCAGGUUGGUUUCUAUCCUUAGAAAAUUAAAAUAUUUUA
rnacentral:rRNA from 1 species